UGGUAAUUCUAGAGCUAAUACAUGAGCAAAAUCUCAACUGUUUUAGAGAGAUGCAUUUAUUAGAUAAAAAGCCAAUACAUGCUUUUAAAGUAUGAAAUUUGGUGAUUUACAAUAACUUAGCAAAUCGCAUAGUGAAAACUGGCGAUAAAUCAUUCAAGUUUCUGACCUAUCAGCUUUCGACGGUAUGGUAUUGGCUUACCGUGGCAGUGACGGUUAACGGGGGAUUAGGGUUCGAUUCCGGAGAGGGAGCCUGAGAAACGGCUACCACAUCUAAGGAAGGCAGCAGGCGCGCAAAUUACCCAAUUCUAACAGCAUGAGAGAGGUAGUGACAAGAAAUAACAAUACAAGGCAGUUAAAAUGCUUUGUAAUUGGAAUGAUAGAAAUUUAAACACUUUUUAAAGUAUCAAUUGGAGGGCAAGUCUGGUGCCAGCAGCCGCGGUAAUUCCAGCUCCAAUAGCGUAUAUUAAAAUUGUUGCAGUUAAAAAGCUCGUAGUUGAAUUUCUGUUAAAAAUAACCGGUCUGCUUUUAAUAAAAGUGGUAUCUUGGUGUGUUUUUAGCAAUAAUGUCCUUUGAAAUGUUUUUU
rnacentral:rRNA from 1 species